rnacentral:rRNA from 1 species
GACGAACGCUGGCGGCGUGCUUAACACAUGCAAGUCGAACGGUGAAGGGACUGGUUUUGCUGGUCCUGGAUGAGUGGCGAACGGGUGAGUAACACGUGAGUAACCUGCCCCCUUCUUCUGGAUAACCGCAUGAAAGUGUGGCUAAUAUGGGAUAUUCUGGGUCUGUCGCAUGGUGGGCCUGGGAAAGAUUUCGCCUUUUUUGGUGUUCUUGGUGGGGGUUGGGUUCGCGGCGUAUGAGCUUGUCGGUGGGGUGAUGGCCUACCAAGGAGGUGACGGGUAGCGGGUGUGAGAGUGUGGACGGUCACACGGGGUCUGAGACACGGCACAGACUCAUACGAGAGGCAGCAGUGGAGAAUAUUGCACAAGGGGCGAAAGUCUGCUGCAGCGACGGCGCGUGAGGGAUAGGGGCCUUCGGGUUGUGAACCUCUUUCGCCGGUGAAGAAGGACUGCCUCUUUAUGUGGGUGGGUUGACGGUAGCUGGAUAAGAAGCGCCGGCUAACUACGUG